CUUUGAUCUGGUCGGAGCCAAAGCACCAAGCAGGGUAAUAGAAAAAAAUAAAGUAGGUAAUUUUGGCAGUGUCAAAUGUCAUUUUUAUUUUAUAAGAUUUUUACACUCUUAAAAAUGCGGUAAGAGCCAAGAUAUAUUCGAAAAAUAGGCACGAACAUUCUUUCAAUGAAAAUAUGAUCACUGAAAUGUACAUUAUUUUAACAAAUAAUCUAACAUCACGUUAGCAGUCUGCAUACAAAUAACUAAAUUACGUAACUGAAUGUAAAUUCUUUAAUAAAAGUUAAAUGAAAACCCUUCGCAGUAA